UUCCCCUGUUUCUUGCUCUGCUCAUAGUAAGCUUUUUCUACUAGAAUACUCUGUUUCCCCUGUUUUUUACUCUGUUCACAAUAAGUAUUUGCUGCUAGAAUGCUCUGUUUCUUGGUCUGUUCAUAAUUCAUGGAACAUUUUUGCUUGUACUCAUCGUACAAAUCCAUUUUAACGUUGUCUGUGGAUCCAUCUUUACCAGAUGAAUGUCCUGAUUUCAAGAAGAGGAUGAUGACAAUGCUGUUUCCCAGAACAAAGACGAAUCGAGGACUAAUGAGGGUAACACCAAGUCCCUUGAAACACUCGAUCGAGAGCUUGAAAUUGAGUGGAAAUCGAGUAGAAAAUCUUGAGAUUAUGGCGAAAAAUAUGCAGAAUUCGAUGAAACGGAACAAAGUUGUGACUCUUUGACGCUUCUUGUACCUUAGCAUAGCGUUUGCUUUCUCCAAUUUGAUGUUUAAGGAUUCCAUAUUUGUUUUGUUUUAACAAGUGAAAGAGUAGUUCUUCU
rnacentral:misc_RNA from 1 species